UUGGGGCGGAGCGAAGACGACGACGACUUAGGGCAUCUACUGAUUGCGGAACAAGAUUUGUUUCGUGAGCAUCUGCCUCACUUGGGCACCACGUCUUGCUUCUGUAAUUCUUCGACUAUGCUCUCUUAAUCUGAUGCCAACAUACUUUUGCAGGAUCACUUUCGCCAGUGAAAUUAUGUGAUCAGGCUCCUCUGCAUAGUGCUGGCACAGUGGUAGCUUGUCGCCAUGUGUUGGGAUGAAGUGAUUAAACGAUUUCAAAACAAUCGCCUGCACUACAAGCUUCACAGACCUCAGUUUCUCGAGCCGAAAGGUCUGCUCAGCGCAACACAGCAGACGUGUAACAAAGGAGGAUGGUUUAACCAGCCCUCCAUUGUCCCUGAGCAUGAUGAGAACACUUGACGUCUCGUCAUCUAGGAGUGUGUCCAAACAACCAUUACAGGUGAGCUUUGAGGAGACAAUUCUGACAACAUAUCCUCCAAUAUAGGCAACAAUGUCCUCGCUGAACCUGCUGAGUCUGGAUGAUUCCCCGUAGUCAUGUAGAAGGGCACAGAUGUUGUCCUCUGCAGGAACUUCUGCAGUGGAAGCCUCCUCACCUGGACUGCCCUCCCUUCGCGGCUUGCCCUGGUGACCGAGUGUCGCUAUGCCUUCCACUGUAGGCGCGACAUUUGCAGAGCUUGGGGCCUGAACUUCAGCGUGUAUCAGAAGCUUCCUGUAGGCAUGACGGAAUUGUGAAGCUGAUGAGUUGUUACUCCAUCCGCCUCUUUGCCUGAUGCUGCUGAAGAACAGUUCCAAGUGCUCCUGGCUGAGGCACCUCUACAUGUUACCUGCAUGCGCCCGCCUGGAACAGCGCUUCUGCCAGCUGUGCAACAUAAUUUUAGCGUUAAGGCCAAGCUGAUGACUAACAUGCGUCUCCCAUGCUGAGCAGCUAGCUCCCCGGAUGGAACUCGCAGCGUCAUCAUCUUUGACGACAAUUGGCCACAGUCAUAAAAAUGAAAGGCCUACUCAUCUACGUCGACAAUGAACGAAGCGGUUGCGUCACUUCCUUCAAAUUCAGUCCACCCCAGGAGCCGUGCGUGGGUCAGGGCUUUGCUCACGGAUGAACUUAGAGCCUGCGCUGCAAGGCGGACCUUCAUGAUCUGGCGGCCAAACUCAAUAUGGGAUCUGGGUCAGUUGCAGCCGUCGACGGACACCACGCAGCAGGUACUGGUUCUUCUCUCGAAGUUGUCUCAUUCCUAUUCCUGGCGUUGUUUUGCUGUGGUAGGUGUGCUCCUUGUGACCCUUCGGUGUGAUCGGGCUGCCCUUAGUAUCUGUGUUGCUCACAGACACCUGCAAAGUUGCCUGUUGGUUAAGGACAGCAUUCCCCAAUAUUUUGCACCUUAAAAUUACCGGUUGUCGUAUAGGCGUGGUUUCGUUGCAUGUUUCCGGUUGCUGCUGCCCUGCUCUGGGGUCAGGGGACAAAGCAUCUAGAGAAAUGUCCUCAAGUCAUUGUGUUUUGGGGCCUGGGCUUUCCUGCUGACACUCCUGAAAUUGUAGUAGGAACAGUUGCUGCUCAGAGGAAUUGGAAUGCAUUGUUUCGCAGUAUAGUCACAAAAGUAAUUAGUCUG